GGGGCUAGUGGCGGACGGGUGAGUAACGCGUGGGAAUCUGCCCUCAGGAGGGGGAUAACGGCCGGAAACGGCCGCUAAUACCCCAUAUGCCGAGAGGUGAAAUGAAUUUCGCCUGAGGAUGAGCCCGCGUCUGAUUAGCUAGUUGGUGGGGUAAUGGCCCACCAAGGCGACGAUCAGUAGCUGGUCUGAGAGGAUGAUCAGCCACACUGGGACUGAGACACGGCCCAGACUCCUACGGGAGGCAGCAGUGGGGAAUUUUCCGCAAUGGGCGAAAGCCUGACGGAGCAACGCCGCGUGAGGGAUGAAGGCCUCUGGGCUGUAAACCUCUUUUCUCAAGGAAGAAGACAUGACGGUACUUGAGGAAUAAGCCACGGCUAAUUCCGUGCCAGCAGCCGCGGUAAUACGGGAGUGGCAAGCGUUAUCCGGAAUUAUUGGGCGUAAAGCGUCCGCAGGCGGCCUUGUAAGUCUGUCGUUAAAGCGUGGAGCUUAACUCCAUUUCAGCGAUGGAAACUACAAGGCUUGAGUGUGGUAGGGGCAGAGGGAAUUCCCGGUGUAGCGGUGAAAUGCGUAGAUAUCGGGAAGAACACCAGUGGCGAAGGCGCUCUGCUGGGCCAUAACUGACGCUCAUGGACGAAAGCCAGGGGAGCGAAAGGGAUUAGAUACCCCUGUAGUCCUGGCCGUAAACGAUGAACACUAGGUGUCGGGGGAAUCGACCCCCUCGGUGUCGUAGCUAACGCGUUAAGUGUUCCGCCUGGGGAGUACGCACGCAAGUGUGAAACUCAGAGGAAUUGACGGGGGCCCGCACAAGCGGUGGAGUAUGUGGUUUAAUUCGAUGCAACGCGAAGAACCUUACCAGGGUUUGACAUCCUGCGAAUCCCUUGGAAACGAGGGAGUGCCUUCGGGAGCGCAGAGACAGGUGGUGCAUGGCUGUCGUCAGCUCGUGUCGUGAGAUGUUGGGUUAAGUCCCGCAACGAGCGCAACCCACGUCUUUAGUUGCCAGCAUUCAGUUGGGCACUCUAGAGAGACCGCCGGUGAUAAACCGGAGGAAGGUGUGGAUGACGUCAAGUCAUCAUGCCCCUUACAUCCUGGGCUACACACGUACUACAAUGCUACGGACAAAGGGUUGCAAGCUCGCGAGAGUUAGCUAAUCCCAUAAACCGUGGCUCAGUUCAGAUCGUAGGCUGCAACUCGCCUACGUGAAGGAGGAAUCGCUAGUAAUCGCAGGUCAGCAUACUGCGGUGAAUACGUUCCCGGGCCUUGUACACACCGCCCGUCACACCAUGGAAGUUGGCCAUGCCCGAAGUCGUUACUCCAACCCUUGUGGAGGAGGACGCCGAAGGUGGGGCUGAUGACUGGGGUGAAGUCGUAACAAGGUAGCCGUACCGGAAGGUGCGGCUGGAUCACCUCCUA
rnacentral:rRNA from 1 species